GGGAGCUGCUGAUAUGGCAGCUUGCUGCUCAAGACUCAAGAUCAAGCUGAGGAGGAGGAGGAGGCGGCGGGCAGUUCACAGCCUGGAUCCUCUUCAGCACCACCAUCACCUCCACCACCAACUGAUGUGGGAAGCCUCCCCCCUUCUCAGAGCUCUCGCCCUGGAGCCACGAAGAGGAGGAGGAGAACUACAGCGGUGGCUCCGGAUCCGGUCGAUGCAGCACUGCUGGAAACACUGCAGGAGUGGCGGCGUGAGGAACGGGAGAGUAAAAAUGUGUUCAGCAGUUUUACGGGCUACCUGAACACCGUUCUUCAGGAACUUCCAGCCACAGAUGGCAAAAAGCUAAUGAAGGAGAUCCAGCAGCUAAUGCUGACUUAUUUAUAGGGGCGUACAUAAGUUAUGUUCUGUUCCAAAUAUUAUUAUUUUUGAUUAUUCUAUUAUUCAACGGUUAUUUAAAAUGUUAAGUGCCUUUGACACUGUUGCACAUUUAAUUGUUAUUUAUUAUUUGUUAUGUUCUAAAUGUUCUAUCUAUAUUGAAGACCCCUGAAUUGUAUUGUUUUUGUACUGUUAUUUAAGUUAAGUGCCUUUGACACUGUUGCACUUUAGUGCUAAAAAUAGAUAAAUUAGCACUCUAAUAACAUUUGUUUGUUAUUUAUGUACGGUUAUGCCCAGAGAUUGUAUAUGCAAUGUAUGGUUUAAAGAACAAAUUUUAUUCAAACAAAAAAAGCGUGCCACGUCUGACAUGCCUGUCCUGCCAGUCAAUCCUGCCUUGCUCUGUGUGGAAGUACUCUUUGAAGAGUUCUCUGACAGCCAUGCCAUCCUGGGUGGCUCUUGCGGUUGUGAUGCGUCGGGUGCGAAUAAGGUUGGUGUCUCCCUGGACCACCUGUCGCCAUUCUCCAGGUGCACCAUCCCCGUCCACCAUUCAUCGUCUAGCUCUCAUCGGCAAAACUAAAGAAACAAACUCGCCAUUGAUGUGUGGGUUCUCAUUGAGUGGUCUCACAUGCCACCGCCGCUUACACUUUUUGCGCCUUUGUCUGCGAUUUCGGAUGAGACAAAGUAACAUUUUGAGACUGAUAGAUUUUGAGAUUGUCGAUGCCGGUAUUUAUAGACUGGAUAGGGCCCUUUAGAGAAUUUAUUGUGCAACAUCCAUAACAACGCUGAAACAAGACGGAGGUAUGAAGGGUAGCUCCGGGGGCAACGUUU
ensembl:lncRNA